GGGAGAAGAUGGCUGUCUACCACACCGCGGAGAGAGGCCUCCGAGGGAGUCAACCCUGCCAACACCUUGGUCUCAGAUUUCUAGCCUCCAGAACUGUGAGGACGUAAAUGUCUGCUGUUAAAGCUGUCAAGUCUGUGGUACUUUGUUAUGGCAGCCCUACAGACUGAUACAGGGAAAAAGAACUUAAAAGCCACUGACCUAGGACAAAACGUUCAUUUUAUACCUAAGAAAAUCAUUGGCCAGAAAAGGUAAGUGAUGGAACUGUCGUCACAUAGGGAGCUGGAAAUCUCAGAAACAGAGUCCAGAUCUCCUGACUCACAGCCCAAGCGUCUUCCCAUCCCACAGUGACGUCUGUCCCAGUGGGAAGGAUGGAAGGCCGCAGAUGUCUCAGUACCUCUGGACCAGAAAAAGGUUGUGUUCCAGGAUCCCAAGGCAUCAGCCUGGAGCUCAGGAGGCUUGGGAAGAAUGGAUCAGUGAGAUCUACAGCAGAGUGCAGGAAUUCCAGCUCAGCCCUCCAUGGGACAUCCAGACUUUACUUUCCCUCGCUGUGAUGUAGGAAGGGCACUGGAGGAACAUGGUCUCGGUCUCUGCAGAGGAAAGAUGAAACAGUGGGAGUGUGUGCUCUGCCAGCACCAUCUCUGCUUCUUUGGGUCUUGAUGAGAAGCAGCAAACCGGAACCUCUACACCCGGAGGCAGGAACCGGCCCCAGUGUGUCACCUGCUGAUCAGCCUCAUAUCCCGGCCCCCCAGCUGGAGAGACUUUCACUCUUUGAAACCUCUUCAAAUUAUUGUGGGAUAUGGAGAAUAAACACAUGAGCCCUUGGGCCGGUUGCCAUGCAUCCUGAGACUAUCUGCAAGGGCCCUCCAGUACAAGUGCCUGAUCGCACUUCAUGCUGAUGUCUUAAUGAGAAGUUUAAGGACGGUGGUUGUAAAGGGGCCCACAGUGCUUCUGGAAAACAGCAACAACAAACUAUAGUAAAGGAUGACUCUCCUUUUCCUGGGAAACUUUACCCAAAACGAUUUUAAAUCCUCUACAGAAAUGUAAGAUGACACAUGUGGCUCAUAUUAAAAUUCUGUUGGAUGGCCCUGGACUAGAAAGAAUCAGAUUUGCAAGAGGCCCAAAUGGACCCUUUCAACAGAUUCAGCAAUGUUCACCAAGCAACUCUGUGUGCCUAGAGCUGUGUUAGCAUGGGAAGAAAGCAAGGCUCCUGCAAACAUAAAAGCUGAAGAUCGGUAAGUGGGGUAUAUUUGAAAAAGCAAUCAGAAUGGUGAAGUAAAUCCUGGUUGAUACGUAGCCCUGUGGAAGGAAGCAGCUCAUCUCUAGAAGAACAAAGACAAGGCCCUGCGAUGCUCCAGUGUGCGUGCCUGGAGGCCAAUCCGACAGCUCCCAGGCCGUGAAGGUUACCAGUAAUUGUCUGAGAGCUACGUGAUUCCUUCACACCCAUGCAGAACCCUGAGAAUCUCAUGGGGAAAUAGAACUUUAUCUCCAAGACAAACUUUGAAGUUUAAAAAUAAAAGCAGGCCCGCCGUUUCCUAGA